AUACGUAGGGUGCAAGCGUUAAUCGGAAUUACUGGGCGUAAAGCGUGCGCAGGCGGUUUUGUAAGACAGAGGUGAAAUCCCCGGGCUCAACCUGGGAACUGCCUUUGUGACUGCAAGGCUAGAGUACGGCAGAGGGGGAUGGAAUUCCGCGUGUAGCAGUGAAAUGCGUAGAUAUGCGGAGGAACACCGAUGGCGAAGGCAAUCCCCUGGGCCUGUACUGACGCUCAUGCACGAAAGCGUGGGGAGCAAACAGGAUUAGAUACCCUGGUAGUCCACGCCCUAAACGAUGUCAACUGGUUGUUGGGUCUUAACUGACUCAGUAACGAAGCUAACGCGUGGAGUUGACCGCCUGGGGAGUACGGCCGCAAGGUUGAAACUCAAAUGAAUUGGCGGGG
rnacentral:rRNA from 1 species